rnacentral:rRNA from 1 species
UACGUAGGGUGCAAGCGUUAAUCGGAAUUACUGGGCGUAAAGCGUGCGCAGGCGGUUUUGGUAAGUCUGUCGUGAAAUCCCCGGGCUCAACCUGGGAAUUGCGAUGGAGACUGCAAGGCUAGAAUCUGGCAGAGGGGGGGUAGAAUUCCACGUGUAGCAGUGAAAUGCGUAGAGAGUGUGGAGGAACGACCGAUGGCGAAGGCAGCCCCCUGGGUCAAGCUGACGCUCAUGCACGAAAGCGUGGG